CCUACGGGAGGCAGCAGUGAGGAAUAUUGGUCAAUGGACGAGAGUCUGAACCAGCCAAGUAGCGUGAAGGAUGACUGCCCUAUGGGUUGUAAACUUCUUUUAUAUGGGAAUAAAAUGUUCCACGUGUGGGAUUUUGUAUGUACCAUAUGAAUAAGGAUCGGCUAACUCCGUGCCAGCAGCCGCGGUAAUACGGAGGAUCCGAGAGUUAUCCGGAUUUAUUGGGUGUAAAGGGAGCGUAGGUGGAUUGUUAAGUCAGUUGUGAAAGUUUGCGGCUCAACCGUAAAAUUGCAGUUGAAACUGGCAGUCUUGAGUACAGUAGAGGUGGGCGGAAUUCGUGGUGUAGCGGUGAAAUGCUUAGAUAUAACGAAGAACUCCGAUUGCGAAGGCAGUUCACUGGACUGCAACUGACACUGAGGCUCGAAAGUGUGGGUAUCAAACAGGAUUAGAUACCCUGGUAGUC
rnacentral:rRNA from 1 species